UGGGGAUGCGUUCCAUUAGUUUGUUGGCGGGGUAACGGCCCACCAAGACAUCGAUGGAUAGGGGUUCUGAGAGGAAGUCCCCCCACAUUGGUACUGAGACACGGACCAAACUCCUACGGGAGGCAGCAGUGAGGAAUAUUGGUCAAUGGCCGAGAGGCUGAACCAGCCAAGUCGCGUGAAGGAAGAAGGAUCUAUGGUUUGUAAACUUCUUUUAUAGGGGAAUAAAGUGGAGGACGUGUCCUUUUUUGUAUGUACCCUAUGAAUAAGCAUCGGCUAACUCCGUGCCAGCAGCCGCGGUAAUACGGAGGAUGCGAGCGUUAUCCGGAUUUAUUGGGUUUAAAGGGUGCGUAGGUGGUGAUUUAAGUCAGCGGUGAAAGUUUGUGGCUCAACCAUAAAAUUGCCGUUGAAACUGGGUUACUUGAGUGUGUUUGAGGUAGGCGGAAUGCGUGGUGUAGCGGUGAAAUGCAUAGAUAUCACGCAGAACUCCGAUUGCGAAGGCAGCUUACUAAACCAUAACUGACACUGAAGCACGAAAGCGUGGGGAUCAAACAGGAUUAGAUACCCUGGUAGUCCACGCAGUAAACGAUGAUUACUAGGAGUUUGCGAUACAAUGUAAGCUCUACAGCGAAAGCGUUAAGUAAUCCACCUGGGGAGUACGCCGGCAACGGUGCAACUCAAAGGAAUUGACGGA
rnacentral:rRNA from 2 species